rnacentral:rRNA from 1 species
AUUGAACGCUGGCGGCAGGCCUAACACAUGCAAGUCGAACGAGUGGCGGACGGGUGAGUAAUGUCUGGGAAACUGGCUGAUGGAGGGGGAUAACUACUGGAAACAGUAGCUAAUACCGCAUACCAUCGGAUGAGCCCAAGUGGGAUUAGCUAGUGGGUGGGGUAACGGCUUACCAAGCCGACGAUCCCUAGCUGGUCUGAGAGGAUGACCAGCCACACUGGAACUGAGACACGGCCCGGACUCCUACGGGAGGCAGCAGUGGGGAAUAUUGCACAAUGGGCGCAAGCCUGACGCAGCCAUGCCGCGUGAAUGAAGAAGGCCUUCGGGUUGUAAAGUACUUUCGGCGAGGAGGCGUUACUCACAGAAGAAGCACCGGCUAACUCCGUGCCAGCAGCCGCGGUAAUAC